rnacentral:rRNA from 1 species
CAGUAGCCGCGGUAAUACGUAGGUGGCAAGCGUUGUCCGGAAUUAUUGGGCGUAAAGGGCUCGCAGGCGGUUUCUUAAGUCUGAUGUGAAAGCCCCCGGCUCAACCGGGGAGGGUCAUUGGAAACUGGGAAACUUGAGUGCAGAAGAGGAGAGUGGAAUUCCACGUGUAGCGGUGAAAUGCGUAGAGAUGUGGAGGAACACCAGUGGCGAAGGCGACUCUCUGGUCUGUAACUGACGCUGAGGAGCGAAAGCGUGGGGAGCGAACAGGAUUAGAGACCCCCGUAGUCCCUGUCUAUUAUAC